UUCACAUCAUUUGUUCCUGAUGAAGAGCAUCAGUUUGAGUCCAAGGCCGAUGCCGGAGCCUCCAAGACUUAUCCUCAGCAAGCCGGCACCAUUCGCAAGAAUGGUUAUAUCGUGAUCAAGAAUCGUGCUUGCAAGGUUGUGGAAGUUUCCACCUCCAAGACUGGCAAGCAUGGUCAUGCCAAGUGUCACUUUGUUGCAAUCGAGAUUUUCAACAGGAAAAAGCUUGAUGAUAUUGUUCCAUCAUCCCAUAAUUGUGAUGUAUGUAAUAUUACUGCUCUUUCUCAUUUUAAUUAUUCUCUUCAUUUUUCUAAUCGCACUAUUUUUUUCGCUUUUACAGGUCCACAGUGUCAAUCGUACCAAUUACCAACUAAUUGAUAUGUCUGAAGAUGGAUUUGUAUGAUACUCUCUACUCUGGAUUUGGAGAGGGGAAGGACCUCUGGAUUUGGAGAGGGGAAGGACCUGGUUGUGACUCAUAUGUCAGCAACGGGAGAGGAACAGAUUUGUGCUCUCAAGGACAUUGGCCCCAAAUAUACAAUUCAAAAAAUCCACAACCACCACACUAUAAUAUAUUAUAACAUUUGAAGAAAACAAAAAAAACAA